rnacentral:snoRNA from 2 species
UCCAGUCCUCCUCAAUGCUGGACAGUCGUAGCCCAGACUGUCCGAAGCAUAAAUAUAUUUAAUGGACUUAUAUUAAAUCAGAGUUUUAAUAUCCUAGUGCCUGAAGAUUAGCCCCUCUUCCUGCUCUCUUGGAACUUAAAACUACACU